AGCUGGAUAGCUCAGUCAGUAAAACAUGAGAUUGUUAAUCUCAGGGUUGUGGGUUUGAGUCCCAUGUUGGGUG